UACGGGGGGGGCAAGCGUUGUUCGGAAUUACUGGGCGUAAAGGGCUCGUAGGCGGCCAACUAAGUCAGACGUGAAAUCCCUCGGCUUAACCGGGGAACUGCGUCUGAUACUGGAUGGCUUGAGUUUGGGAGAGGGAUGCGGAAUUCCAGGUGUAGCGGUGAAAUGCGUAGAUAUCGGGAGGAACAUCAGUGGCGAAGGCGGCUGCGUGGCCCAAUACUGACACUCAGGUGCGACAGCGUGGGGAGCAAGCAGG
rnacentral:rRNA from 1 species